rnacentral:misc_RNA from 1 species
UCUACUCCAACGAAAGAAUAACAAAAAGGGAAAAAAAAUCAACAACAAUACAAGAAUCAAUCAAUUUUCCGAAUUCUGCAUCCUCCAAUUUAAAUAGCUAAAAAUUGGUCUUUCUGGAACAGGCAUGUACUUGACAACCCAACCAAUUGGCCAUGUAAGAGCUGCCAUUCCAAUGCAUGCACCCCAUUGACCCCAAUUCAACCUCUCUGUAUCUGCAAACUUUUUCAGAAACUCCACCAUCAGCACCUGAAGGACUAUGGUUAUCCCAAUGAUUCCCAAGAAUAACUUGUUCUUAUGUAUCCCCUUGAACACAUUCUUCUUCUCCAGCUUCCUUGCGUUGAAUUCAUUAAACACUUGGCACAGAACGAAAGUAUUGAAGAUCAGAGUGUGCUU